rnacentral:lncRNA from 1 species
UGACAGUGAAUUUUUGGAAGUGGAUUUACCUUGGUUUACUUACAACUCCCAUAUUAUCGGGCAUUUCGAGUUAUAAAUAACACACUGAUAAAUACCUGAGCAUACAUUGCAUUUUGUAUAUAGCUACAUACUGAACAUGACUCAAUUCUGAUACAGAUAUCUAAGUUACACAAGGUUGGAAUACUAUACCUACUUGUAAUACUACUUGAUCUGGCUUACAGAAAAGGUCCAGACAUUUCAAUUUAAAGAUGGCAGUAGGUCUCAUAAGCCAUCUUCAUUUCACCAGGGGCAUGUCCCUACUGUGUAACUCUGAUUUCAGGCAGGAAGAAAACAAGCAGGGUGAUCUUUAGGCAGUAGGGGGAAGGGGUAUGUGACCCACAUGUGAUUUGUGACAAAAAGAUAAAAAGCAAGUAGAAGUAAGUAAAUUUAGAUAAUUUCUAAUUAUCACUGCAGAGAUUAAAAGGUGUGGAGACAUGAAUGUUUUAUUUCUGUGAACAGCUUGUUCAGUUGUUCUUUUUAUGUUCAGUCAAAUUGC